GGGAGGAGAGGUUCCCCAACCACUCUGCCAAAGCUUUCAGUACAUUGAAGUCAUAAAUACAUAAUUGCCUAAGUGCGGUCAGGUGUUGAAUUUGAUUUGGCAGCGAGCAUAGUUUAUCCUAUCCAUGCAAAUGCAACUCUUUAAGGGAAGAAUGGAGGUGGUGGAUGGAACUAAGACCCGGGAACUCCUCUAGCAGACUCUUCAAACGUGUGAG
rnacentral:lncRNA from 1 species